rnacentral:rRNA from 1 species
CCUUAUUGGAGAGUUUGAUCCUGGCUCAGGACGAACGCUGGCGGCGUGCCUAAUACAUGCAAGUCGAGCGGAGUUUAUUCUUCGGGAUAAGCUUAGCGGCGGACGGGUGAGUAACACGUAGGCAACCUGCCCCUUAGCCUGGGAUAACUACCGGAAACGGUAGCUAAUACCGGAUAAUCCCUUUCCUCGCCUGAGGGAAGGAUAAAAGGCGGAGCAAUCUGCUGAUAAGGGAUGGGCCUGCGGCGCAUUAGCUAGUUGGUG